CCGGCGACCGGCGCACGGGUGAGUAACACGUAUGCAACCUGCCCUCUUCAGGGGGACAACCUUCCGAAAGGGAGGCUAAUCCCGCGUAUAUCGGUUUCGGGCAUCCGAGAUCGAGGAAAGAUUCAUCGGAAGAGGAUGGGCAUGCGGCGCAUUAGCUAGACGGCGGGGUAACGGCCCACCGUGGCGACGAUGCGUAGGGGUUCUGAGAGGAAGGUCCCCCGCACUGGUACUGAGACACGGACCAGACUCCUACGGAAGGCAGCAG
rnacentral:rRNA from 1 species